UACGUAGGGUGCAAGCGUUGUCCGGAAUUAUUGGGCGUAAAGAGCUCGUAGGCGGUCUGUCGCGUCGGCUGUGAAAACCCGGAGCUCAACUCCGGGCCUGCAGUCGAUACGGGCAGACUGGAGUUCGGCAGGGGAGACUGGAAUUCCUGGUGUAGCGGUGAAAUGCGCAGAUAUCAGGAGGAAUACCGGUGGUGAAGGCGGCUUUCUGGACUGCUGCUGACGCUGAUACACGAAAGCGUGGGGAGCAAACAGG
rnacentral:rRNA from 1 species